AAAAUGUUUUGGUGAAGAUUUGUUUUCUUCUUCUGCACUAUUUUAUACUUAAAAAACCGUGCGGAGAAGACAACAAGUCUUUAACAAAAUUCUUC